AUGGUGCUGAGGUUCCAGAUCACCCAGGAGAGUCCAGAACCUCAGCCCCAGCCAGGACCCCGCAGGAGAAAGAGGAUCCAUCAUCGAGAUGGAUCCAGAACCUUCUGGAAGAACCUCAGGCCCCCCCGGGACACGCCCGGAUCCGGCUUUGCCUCAUCCCCAUCUCCCCUUUUUCCCGCAGGGCUCCGGGCGGCCGUGACCCUGCUGGAGUCCGGGGGGGACCUCCAGCCCCCCGGGGGGUCCCUGCGCCUCCUCUGCCGAGGGCAAGGAUUCAAUUUUGGGGAUUUUGGGAUGUUGUGGAUCCGCCAGAAACCCGGGAAGGCGCUGGAAUACGUCGCGAGCAUCUACAGCGAUGGACGGUACACCGACUACGCGCCAUCCGUGAAGGGCCGGUUCAGCAUCGCCAGGGACAACGGGCAGAGCUCGGUGACGCUGAGCAUGAACAACCUCCAGGACGAGGAUUCCGGCGUUUAUUUCUGUGCCAAAUGUGUUGAUGGUGGUGGUUGGGGUGCUGCUGCUUAUGGUGAUGAACCUUGUCCUCAUCACUGUGUCCACAAACCCCAGGAUUUUGCCCCAAAGCCCAGCCCUGACCCCGUUCCCGUCCGUCUGUCCCGGCUCUGA